rnacentral:rRNA from 1 species
GACGAACGCUGGCGGCGUGCUUAACACAUGCAAGUCGAACGGAAAGGCCCUGCUUUUGUGGGGUGCUCGAGUGGCGAACGGGUGAGUAACACGUGAGUAACCUGCCCUUGACUUUGGGAUAACUUCAGGAAACUGGGGCUAAUACCGGAUAGAAGCUCCUGCUGCAUGGUGGGGGUUGGAAAGUUUCGGCGGUUGGGGAUGGACUCGCGGCUUAUCAGCUUGUUGGUGGGGUAGUGGCUUACCAAGGCUUUGACGGGUAGCCGGCCUGAGAGGGUGACCGGCCACAUUGGGACUGAGAGACGGCCCAGACUCCUACGGGAGGCAGCAGUGGGGAAUAUUGCACAAUGGGCGGAAGCCUGAUGCAGCAACGCCGCGUGCGGGAUGACGGCCUUCGGGUUGUAAACCGCUUUCGCCUGUGACGAAGCGUGAGUGACGGUAAUGGGUAAAGAAGCACCGGCUAACUACGUG